rnacentral:lncRNA from 1 species
UUUUUUUUUAGGCGGUUAGACAUAGAAUUACUAUUCAUCUCACGGGCAGUCCUGGCCUCGUUUGCCUUGGUCCCAUGGGAGACCCAGAUCCGGCGGAUCUUAUAGAUUUGGAAACUGACCGGAUACCUUUCAAACGAUCUGAUAUGAACUUAGAUCAAUGGGCAAGCACUUUUAGAUCUUGGCCGAAUGAAACCCCAGGUUGGAGGGAAUGGUACCAACGGGUGGCUGCAUCAAAGAGCGUCUCGUGGGACGAGCUCAAAAUCGGCCAAUGUAUCAACCUUUCCCUGUCUCAAAUGGAGAAGAACGAGCCGUUAGUGAUGGCGGCUUCCUAUUUUUGGUCUGACGCACUUAAUGCGUUCCUAUUUGGACACGGUCCUAUGACCCCCACUCUGGCCGAUGUGGUCCUCUUGACCGGCCUGGACAUAUCUUCCCCUGACAAACCUUUCCAGCUUUUGACCGUACCGUCGCAUCGGCUGGACACAAGAGGAAUCGGCGGCUGGAAGGGCUUUAUCAAUAGUAACAAGAAGACCGGUACUGUUGAGAACAGGGAACGCACCGCUUUCCCGAUGAUGUGGCUAGAAAAACACCUUUUCUGUGGAAGGGCCGCCGGCCCAACAACCAAUACCCAAUCUUUAGCUGAAGCGUUGUCUAGAGGAAACCAUAUUCCUCUCGGGAAACAUCUUUUGGGUGCCGUGUACCAUAUGCUCCAUCAAAUCGGCACAAAACUUUCCAAGGGAGAACCAAUCGGCAACCCAGGUAGGCCUUGGUGGUUUGUCAAUCUAUGGUUGAACCUUUAUAUGAACAGAAUCACCCGGCAACCAGUGGACCAUAUGAUGUUUCCCAAUAUUGAAUCGGCGGAAGACCCUACCGAGCGGCGCCGAUGUAUGUCUUAUGGUGAAGCAGCGUCAGCUUUUCCAGGUUGUGCGUAUUCCGCUACAAAGGUAGCCGAGUACUUUCGGUGCUUUUAUAAUGGAUUUAAUGAGGAUGCAACUAUCUGGUUUCCAUACCAGCGAGAUAUUCCAGUUUUCGAGCUCCCCUCCUGCUUCGAUUCAACUUUUGGCCGGUUUGAUGAGGAUCUUUAUGAAGAACUGAUCAAACCAGGACUCUUACCGGCUAACUUCUUUUCGGGGAAAGAUGCCCCUACAUACGAAUUCUACAACCCGUCUACUGCCGCACGACAAUUCGGCAUGGGUCAAUUGCCGAUACGGGUGUAUUUUGCUGGCCGAAUUAAGUUCAGAGAAGGACUUAAAACUGGCCUGGAUUAUUGUCGGCUGCAAGACCGAAUUCCGGACUCCAGUACGAUUAACUUGAACAACUGGCUAGUAGCUCCAUUUGCUGUCCAGCCGUUCAAACUCUGGUGGGCCGAAUGGAAACAAUUUCUCUUCUGCAACUCAGCAUCGGCAUACUGCAAUCUUCUGGACCCAGCCAACAUUGACCCAAACGCCGAGGUAUUUCUGAUUACCGAUUUUAUUCUUUUCAACAUAAUUGAGCACUAAUGAUUUCAUUGUUUCUUUAGGCCGAGAAUCAAGCCCCUCCAACGCACAGCCGCAGCGGUCGGUUGAUAGAGAACUACCCGUACACCACUUAUCCUCUUAUCGGCCACGACGCUCCGUCAGUUGACAUGAUUGCUGGCCGAUCGAAGAAGAUUCAUAAGAAGGUCAUCAAGAAAACCAGUCGCCGAGUUCGGGCUCGUACGGAAUCGGCGGACCCUCCUGUGCUCGUACCGGCAGAAACCUUGACUACACCACCCCAGGCUACACAAAGUGCUGAUACUCAAGCCGUCAUACAAGCCGGAGUGGCUGCCGUGUCAUUAUUGUUGGAAGCCAUGCAGGUAAAUCCGAAUUUUGCCAUCUCCAAUUGUUAUUUAAAUAUUAACUUUCCUUAACUCUGUAUUUCCCAGAGCACCGCUACGGAAAUACCACGAUCGGCGACAACUCGACCGGACGCCAACGCACCCUUGCCCUCAUCCAUUGAGGUAUAGUGCCUAUCUUACGGAUUUCCUUCGGGUAUCCGUGUAAUGUACUUAACCGAUUUUUGACGCAGGCCAUCGGCGCACCAAGUGCUUCCCGACAACCGAUUUCUUUCCAGGGAGUCGGUCCGAGCUCCGCGCCGAUUACUGUGGAGUCCUCUUCAUCAGAUGAACCCAUGGCACAGGCCAAUGAGCCAGACACAACGGCUUUACCAGCGCAGCAUGAAGAAAUUCGUUUUAAAAUGGUAAAUUCAUAACCAGCUUUCAACCAGCCGAUUUGCUCUGAUUCCACGCCGAUUCACCCCUUUUCCUUAUCUUCUCAGGAACAAGACUCCCCCAACAACAGCCUCUUCUCCUUUGCGGUUGCUCUUUCUGAUGAUGAGGAAGUCGCGUCCCGUCAAGUCGCUCUAAGCUCCGUUCCUGACGACGUCCGAGCUAAACUUACCAACAUCCGAUCCCUCCUGCAAGGGGACAUCGGCCGAUUGGUAGAAGAUGCUUCGCCGAUUCGGCAGCUAUUCAGUGACGUCAGCGGACGAGUACCAGAGGAAGCGGAAGAGGCCCUGGCACCGGCGGCUUUUAUUGAGUCCAUGAGGAUUCCCGUCUUUAGGGCCCUUCGUCAUAUGGCCGACCGCGCGAAACUGGUCAAGAUUCGUGAAGAUGAAAAUGCCUUUAAGCGUCAGGCUCAAGAAGCGAAUCGGCGUAUCCAUGUUCUAGAAGAUUCACGCCCGGCGAUCAUUAGUGAAAUAGAUCGCCUCAAACGACGGAGGGCGGAACUUGCUAAAGAGAUGGAGCAAGUGACCAAGGCAAUCAGCGCCGAAGAGAACAGACUUCAAGAUUUACCCUCUGCUAUUGCCGAUUUGACACGGGAGAGGCAAAGUUUCGCUCAAGAGGCUCUGAGACUCCACCGCAACGCAUCGGAGGUCCCUGGAUCGGCAGAAGAAGACCAACGGGUUCUUGACUCCGCCGAUCAGAUUCGGCGUCGGGCCAUCGCGGCUAUCGAUACCCUUUUGGGCAGUCUGUAAAACACUGACCGCUUUGUACGAACAUUUACUGCCUUCUUUGACCGACCCUUCGCGAUGCCUUCUAUUUACUGUCUUCCUUAUUACCGAUGGGACGUGGCCUCAUCAGAUUUCCACGUAUUUUUCCCCAUAAAUAUCGACCUCGGCGCCUCUUCUCGAUAGCAUCGAUCUGGCUCCCAUUUCGCCUUUCCUCUUCCUCUCAUCGGCGCGACUACUUCAUCAUGGCUUCAUCGCCAUCCUCUUCUGUCAACCAGGUGAAAUCCCACUUUCUCCUCUUAGAUCUCGGGAACCGAAUGCUUCACCUUAUUCCUUCUUUGUUUUAGCCUCAACGCCUUGGUCCGGAGCUCGUGCGCGCCAUCGAGUGCAUUCAUUCCGAAGACCCGUUGACCCCAGAGGACAAGGCUCUGCUUCUAGCCCAUCGAGAGGAGCUCCAAGACCACAUUACUGCAGAUGCUCGUGUAGUCUUGGAUGCCGUGGUGACCGAAAGUAACCGUCAAUCUCCACCCACCGGGAGCCAUCAUUGUGACGAUCUCGAAGACGACGUCGCCACGGCGGCCCGAACGGUCCUGGACUUCGUGGAGAGGAACGGCAGCCGGCGACCUCCCUCCGACAGGAGUCAUCCACUUCCCCGGCGAGUCGUUCUCGAAGACGCGGGGGCGGGGACCUCGCACCCUCCCGUGGAUCGGAGUCAUUUUCUCCCUCGUCAAGUUGGAGCGGAGAUUUCAAUGAAGGCCAUAGAGGAAGAAUACUUCCGUCUCAUGAUAGAGUUGGGUCGGGCUGAGAGGGAGCGUAAGAAAAAGAAUAAUUAGUUAUUGUAUUUUUUGUUCUAAGGGCGACUAAAUGUUUUGUCGGCCAUGUAACCUGUCGCCCGUACCGAAUGACUGUAAUCGGCCGAUUCGGACGACUAUGUGUUUGAACCGAUUUGCAUCGGCUAUGUGUGGUCACGUCAUGGUUGACUCCUUACGCUCCGACCCAUAUGCUGGGGUAAUAUCUUUUUAAGUACCUUCCGUUCAGAGCCCUAGUAAAUUCUUCUCCUUCUAUUGUUUCCAGAAUGUAAGCAUUCCCCGGAGCGCAUCUGCCGAUUUUGUACGGCCCUUCCCAUGUGGGGGACCAUUUCCCGAAUUUAGGAUCUUUCGACCCAAUCGGCAAUACUAACUUCCAUACCAGGUCCCCAGGGGAGAAUUGCUUGACUUUGACCUUCUUAUCGUACCACCUGGCCACCUUCUUUUUGUUUUCUUCGAUGCUUAUCAGAGCUCUUAAUCGUUGGCCGGCCAAAUCAUCAAGUUCCCUCUUCAUAAGUGACGAGUAGUCAUCGGCCGUUAACUGAUCCUGGAGCGAAAUACGCCUUGAUCCUGCUCUUGAUUCCCACGGUAGUACCGCAUCGUGACCAUACACUAAUUGGUAGGGAGAUAGCUUGGUAGCCCCAUGACAAGCCAUCCGGUAUGCCCAUAAGGCCUCUGUCAAACAUAGAUGCCACUUCUUCGGCUGUUCCUCGACUUUUCUUUUGAUCAAUUUGAUUAUCCCUUUGUUGGAGGAUUCUGCCUGACCAUUGGCUUGGGCGUAGUAUGGAGAAGAAUUUAACAAUUUGAUUCCCAUAUCGGUCGUAAACUCCUCAAAUUCCUCCGAUGUGAACAUUGUUCCUUGAUCGGUUGUUAUGGUCUGAGGGAUACCGAAUCGGUAAACGAUGUGGUCUCUUACGAAGUCGGCCAUGAUAGCUGAUGUCACGGCCCUUAACGGGAUAGCCUCUACCCAUUUGGUAAAGUAAUCGGUAGCCACCAGAAUAAAUUUGUGUCCUUUGCUUGAUGGUGGGUAAAUUUGGCCGAUAAGGUCUAUUCCCCAUCCCCUGAACGGCCAUGGCUUGAUGAUGGGAUUCAUGGCCGAUGCGGGUGCACGUUGAACAUUUCCAAAUUUCUGACACUCCUGACAACCUUUAUAAUAUUUGAAACAAUCUUCAAGGAUUGUGGGCCAAUAGUACCCGUUGUUCCUGAUCAUCCACUUCAUCUUAUGUGCCGAUUGGUGUGCUCCACAUACCCCUUCAUGGAUUUCUCCCAUUAGAGUCUUGGCUUCUUCUGUCCCAAGGCAUUUAAGAAGGACUCCGUCGAUCGUUCGGUAGAACAGAUCAUCUUCGAGCAGUACGUAUUUGGUGGCAUGAAAGCGUACUCGUCGCUCCACCUUUUUAGACGGAUCCUUCAGGUAAUCGGCAAUUUCUUUACGCCAGUCGUCGGUUGCAAGUUCUAAGGCCAUAGCACCUAGAAUCGGCCGAUACCCAGAUGCGUGCUGGGCGAGUUUGUUUGCUUCUCCGUUGCGGUCUCUUGGAAUAUGCUCGAUUACUGCCGAUCUGAAUUCUUUUAAAAGCUGUAGGCAAUCUUCGUGAUAAGUUCUUAAUAUGUCAUCUUUGCACUCAGCCCUUCCGGUUAGUUGAUCCACAAUAAGCAUAGAAUCUCCGAAGAUCUCAACAGAAUCGGCCUUGAUUUCUCUCAAUAGCUCUAAGCCUUUUAAUACGGCUCUGUACUCCGCUUGAUUAUUAGUAGCAGCGAUUUCUAUCGGCAGAGAAAAAUCAUAGCUUGCCCCCCGGGGCGAUAUGAGAACGAUGCCGAUUCCUGAUCCGAUCCCGCAUGAUGACCCGUCGAAAAAUAAUUGCCAAGGCACCAGUUCCACGAGGGCGAUCUCCGGUCCACAGUGCUGGGCGACGAAAUCGGCCAUGACUUGACCCUUGACGGCUUUUGCCGAUUCAUACCGCAGGUCAAAUUCUGAUAAAGCUAAGAUCCAUUUACCGAUUCGUCCUUUUAACAUCGGCAGUGAUAGCAUGUAUUUUACUACGUCAUCUUUGCAUACGGCUACACAUUCUGCCGACAGCAGAUAGUGCCUGAGCUUGGUGCAUGAGAAGUAAAGACACAAACACAAACGCUCCACCGGAGGAUAUCUUGUUUCGGCAUCCAGGAGUCUCCUACUGACGUAAUAAAUGACCCGCUCUUUGCCUUCAAAUUCUUGGACCAGAGCCGACCCAAUAGCUUUUUCAUCGGCUGACAAAUACAGUUUAAACGGCUUACCAGCUUGAGGGGGAACCAAGACUGGGGGCGAGACCAAGUAUCGCUUGAUAUCUUCUAACGCCUUGCGCUGUUCGUUUCCCCAUAUAAAUUCCUGGUCUGGCUUCAACUUUAGAAGUGGCGUGAACGCCUGAAUGCGUCCAGAUAGAUUAGAUAUAAACCUUCUGAUGAAGUUUACCUUGCCGAUUAGAGACUGUAGUUCGGUUUUGUUCUGUGGGGCGAUGACUUUGUUGAUGGCCGCUAUGGUCUUCUGAUUGACUUCUAUACCUCGUUCGUGCACCAUGAAUCCUAAGAACUGUCCGGCGGAGACGCCGAAAGCGCAUUUGUUGGGAUUCAUCUUAAGACCAUGCUUUUUGGUACACUCUAGUACCCUUCGCAAAUCGGCUAGGUGUUCUUCGUGGCUUUUGGACUUGACCACAACGUCAUCAAUGUAGAUCUCCACCAGGAGUCCAAUGAGUUUGUGAAAAAUGUAGUUCAUGGCUCUCUGAUAUGUAGCGCCAGCAUUCUUCAAGCCGAAAGUCAUCACCACCCACUCGAAUAGACCAAGAUGGCCUGGACAUCUGAAAGCCGUUUUGGGUAUGUCCUCUUCGGCCAUAAGUAUUUGAUUGUAUCCGGCGUUUCCAUCCAUGAAGCUAAUAAUUUUGUGUCCCGCGGCAGCGUCGAUCAAUACAUCGGCCGUAGGCAUGGGGUAGCCAUCCAUCGGUGUGGCCUGAUUAAGAUUCCUGAAAUCGACGCAAACGCGUAGCUUCCCGUUUUUCUUGUACACUGGCACGAUAUUAGAAAUCCACUCGGCAUAACGACAUUGCCGAAUAAAUUUUGCUUCAAUUAGCCGAGUUAUUUCAGCUUUUAUGUCUGGUAAAAUUUUAGGAUUGCAUCGCCGUGCGGGUUGUUGGUACGGCCGAUACCCUGGUUUUAUGGGUAGCCGAUGUUCAACAAUAGAUCGAUCUAAUCCGGGCAUCUCGUGAUACUCCCAAGCAAAACAAUCCUUGAAUUCUCUUAAUAAAUUUGUCAAUUUACACUUAUACUCUGGAUCUAAAUUUGCACUAAUAAAAGUCGGCCUUGAUUUGGUCCCGUCACCUAAGUCUAUCAUUUCUAAUGAAUCGGCCGACGUGAAUCCGUGCCCCAGCUUCCCGUCUUCUCGGGCGGACUGAUCCAUCUAUUGCACUUCUUCGGAGCCGACUGCUCGGAUCGGCUGUAGGCCAAAAUCGGUGACCUUCAGGAAGUCGGUUUCCCACACCCUACCUGAUAUGCAUCUGACGGUCUCGCAGCUCCAUUGCUGUGCGUCGGCUGCUGCGAUGCUGUACGCGGAGUCGGCUUUGACCACCUCGAUGUUAUCGCCGACCCAUUGUACGAGGCAUUGAUGCAUAGUUGAUGGGAUGCAGCAGUUUGCGUGUAUCCAGUCUCGGCCAAGAAGCAUAUUAUAGGAUCCUUUGCCAUUAAUGACGAAAAACGUGGUAGGAAGGGUCUUACUGCCGAUGGUGAGGUCGACGCAGAGGGCACCGCGAGCGUUUGACACCUUGCCCUCGAAGUCCUUGAGCAUCAUGUCCGUCCUGGUUAGGUCAUCGUCGCUUUUUCCCAGCUUCCGGAGUACGGCAUACGGCAUGAUAUUGACGGCAGCUCCCCCGUCGACCAUCAAUCUAGUGAGGGGGCGACCGUCAACAUGCCCUUUAAGGAACAAUGCCUUCAUGUGUUGUCGUUCGUCGUCUUCGGGCUUUUCGAACGUGGCCAUCAUUGGUUCUAAAGCCAACCGUGCUGUUUGCUCCUCUAUCGCCGAUACGUCCUGUCGAUCGGCAGGGGUCAUGAACUCCAUCGGCAAUAUGAAAACCAUACCGAUUUCGGCUGCCGAUUCAUCGCCCGCCGACUCAUUGUUUUCCUUGUCGUUUCUUUUGGGGCGCCACACCCGAGGCCUCCCUUCCUUCUUGUCCAUCGCGCUCUCUUCUUCUUGCUGUUCCCACUGGCGGAGGCGUUGGAUUCUCCGUUUUUGUGAUUUGGUUAAACCAUCGGGGCACCAUCUGGGGUUUAUUGGCUUCCCUUCUUUCCCGGCGCGUUCCCAUUCCGGCUCGCGUCCUAACAGGUUCUCGUCCGUUACCCGAGCAUCGGCCAUGUCUUCGAGCCGGCUGUGAACGCUGGCUUUGCUAUUUGACUGAUCGUGUCGAUCGGUCCUGCCCCCCUGCCUAUUAUGGCUUCUGUCUUUUGACCGACCGUAUCGGUCACUUCUGCCCCCCAGCCGAUCACGCAUGGAAGGGCGCUGAUCAUCUGGGUUGCGCCAAUUCCUGCUGAUCGGCUCUGGCCUUCCGUCUCUGGAGCGAGACCUGGUGAACGGCCGAUUGCCUCGAUAGGGACCGUUGCACUCUGGGCACGUAUCGGCCGAUGGUAGCCUGAGGUUAUUUUCCCAACAAUGGAUGAAGAAUGGGCAUCUCCAGUGCUCCUCGUGCCGACGCAUCGCUUCCUCUCGGGACCUUGAACGUUCAUGUUGGCGUUGGUACUUUUGGAGCAGGAACUGGGAAGUAAUACGUGGCCCUUCUGACUCACCAUCAUCGUCUUCCAUUCGUCGCUUUCCCUUGACGUCUUCAGACGUAACUUGAUUUCUGGGGUCGACAGCGCCACUCUUUUUGGCCGACUCGGACGUCAGCACCUUUGUUUGUAGGGAAUUCUUUCCCGUGUCAGCCAUGUUGGUAGGAAAAGGGUGCUGGUCGAUCUUCAUUGGUUUGGCCGGUUUUGUCGGCACUUCAAAUUUGAGUCUGCCUUGCUCAAUGGCUGACUGUAUUUGUUGCCUGAAGAUUUUGCACUCGUUGGUAUCAUGUGAUGUGGCAUUGUGCCACUUGCAAUACUUCAUCUUCUUCAAUUGUUCGGCAGAGGGUAUUGUAUGGUAAGGCGAGAGUUUAAUCUGCCCUUCCUGGAGUAGAAGAUCGAAGAUUUUGUCCGCUUUAGUUGUAUCGAAGCCAAAUGCCUCUGGCUCCUUCUUGCCGAAUGGGCAUGAUAUUGGCUUCUUCCCCUUAAUCCACUCUGCAAGUCCGAUUUCAGCAUCUUCCUCGUCCUCUAAUUCUUCCAGGAAUGCCACUUUCUUCUGGAAAUUCCUUCUUGGAUCGAACGGACGCACUUCCUGCCCGGACAAUCGGUGGACAAUCUGGCUCAGGCUCUCGAACUCUUGUGAAGCAUAUUUUUCUUUAAUGUGUGGCAGCAGGCCUUGGAAAGCUACAUCGGCCAACUGUGCGUCGGUUAGAGCCAGGGAGUAGCAUUUGUUCCUGAUUUCCCGAAACCUCUGUAUAUACGAGGGUAUCGGCUCAUCACUUCUUUGCCGGAGGCUAGUCAAAUCGGACAGCUUCAUUUCAUGGACCCCAGCAUAGAAGUACUUGUGGAACUGCCUUUCUAGAUCGGCCCAUGUGAUAAUUGAGUUUGGUGGCAAAGUUGUGAACCACUGGAAGGCCGAUCCAGACAAGGAUGACGAGAACAACCGCACCCGCAGGGCAUCUUGCGUAGCUGCCUCCCCACAUUGAAUGAUGAAUCUAUUCACAUGUUCUACGGUAGAAGUGUCAUCCAUCCUCGAAAAUUUGGUAAAAUCAGGAACCUUGUACCGAUGGGGAAAUGGCAACAAGUCAUAUGUAGAUGGGUAUGGUGUUCUAUAGGUAUAAGUUUGCACCUUCGGCUUCAGGCCGAAUUGUUCUUGCAUUACCUCUGCAAUUUGCGCCGACCAAUCUGGUUGUUGCUGGGGAACAAUUGGCGGCGGCAUCGGCACGUGCUGAUAAAUCGGAGGCUGAAUAAAAGGAGGUUGAUGAAAAGGUGGUAUCUGAGUAUAAGCCGGUGGUGUAGUAAAUGACGGCUGCUUGUAUGAACCACUUGUCUCAUCAUAUAGCAUGAGCUCUGACGUUUUGUUGACCUCCGGAGCGAUAGGCUGGUAUGGUGGUAUGAUCGGCUGAGUGGCCGUUUGGGAAGGUAUCUGGAACGGAGGAUUUCCUUGACUGACCGAUUGAUUCAAACCGGUCGUUUUUAAGGGUGCCCCCCAGGGUAAAGGGAUGACUGGAGGGAGUGGUGCAGAGGAUAGUUGGAUAGAGCCAUAUCCCAAAGAAGUUGAUGACGCAGAGGCACCGGGCCCUCCGAUAGAAGCUUGGAUCGGCUGUGAAGCCUGAUAAGCCUGAUUUGGCGGAAUCGGCUGAAAAUACGUUGGUCCCCUGUACCCUUGAGGUAUACCUCCGGCGAAGGAGUUGACAACAGCAUUGUGCACCAUGUUUGAAAGUACCGGGGAUUGAUUGAUGAAGGCGUGAUGAAGAGAUUGUUGAAUCAUAUCGGACAUUUUAUCCGAAUCUUCAGAAAUUGUGAUCUGGCGGGGAGUAGGGAAAGGAGUCUUUUUAACAGUUUCCCCGCUCCUGGAACGACUGAAGGAUUUCAAGCAAGUUUGCCGGACUUGCUCCAAAUACUUAUUCAGAUCGUCCUUUUGGUCGUCCUUUAGAUCUGCUUCCGUCACUUCGAUGACGUUAUCUUCGGAAACUUCAGCAGUUUUUGACAUGUUGGCGGUUGUAUUGGUCCCACUGGGCGUGCCAAAAGUGUGUUGGCGUUUAGAAAUCGGUCAACCGAAUCCCAGCGGCCGACACACGACCCGGGAGAAUCUGCUUAGCUCCUGUUCGGGUGAAUGCCCUGGUGCGGUUCGCGCGGCGUGCCAGCCAAUCUGACCUGUUGAUUGGCAAGGAAGAACGCGUGUCAAAUUCAGAAACUACGAUCGGCUAAGUUUCCGAUCGAAAGAGCUUAUCGGCAAAUCGGCCGAUCCGCUGUGAUAAUGAAAUCGGCUACAAGACAGCACGAUCCCUGUAGCCUUGUAGACAGAAAAAUACUAAAGUGAUCGGUACAAAGCUUAUAAUAACAGCACUAGGAAAAGAUCUAAUCGGCAAAGCCGAUACUACCGAUUCCUAGCGGGAUAACUGGUGAUAAAACUUAGGAAAACAGGUGAAAACCUAUUAAUCUAGUUGAUAUCGAUAACUAAUGAAUAAAUCUAAACGAAACAACAGCGAUGCGCCGGGAGUUAAAGCUUAGAUAUUACUCGAUAAGCGGAACUUACAGAAUCGGCCGAAGAUCAAGGUGAUGCAGCCCUGCCAACCCGCACGAACUCGUGAGAAGAAAAAGUAAUGGCGAAGUCGCCUGCUUGAAAGUAAAUACGAAGAGGAAAGUAACUUGUUGUAUUGAUUGGUUGAUGUUUACAGAUUUACAAAGGUAGCUAUUUAUAGCCCCGUUCAGAUAACUUCUUAACCGACUAGAAUUCUAUCCCUAAUUCAAACAGAAAACAAAUAUCUAAUAAGCACGAUUCGUGCUAGGUUGGUUAUUCCACGCUUCAUGGGCUGACUUCCACCUCAUCCUUCCAAGCCCAUACAGGCCCAAUUAAUACACCCUCCUAAUCGGCCGAUUUCUCAUCGGCAAAGGAUUGCCGAUUGGGAGUCUGGCGCAUUCUCCCUGAAGCGAAGUAAAAGCUGCCGGCCGAUUCUGCAUUAUAGCACCAUUUGACCGAUUCCCAACUGUACUGCUUCGACUUCUUUUCUCCUUGGCGCCGAUUCUACUGAUGACGAAAUCCGGCGUCAACAACUCCCAAGCAAAACAAUCCUUGAAUUCUCUUAAUAAAUUUGUCAAGUUACACUUAUACUCUGGAUCUAAAUUUGCACUAAUAAAAGUCGGCCUUGGUUUGGUCCCGUCACCUAAAUCUACCAUCUCCAAUGAAUCGGCCGACGUGAAUCCGUGUCCCAGCUUCCCGUCUUCUCGGGCGAACUGAUCCAUCUAUUGCGCUUCUUCGGAGCCGACUGCUCGGAUCGGCUGUAGGCCAAAAUCGGUGACCUUCAGGAAAUCGGUUUCCCACACCGUACCUGAUAUGCACCUGACGGUUUCGCAGCUCCAUUGCUGUGCGUCGGCUGCUGCGAUGCUGUACGCGGAGUCGGCUUUGACCACCUCGAUGUUAUCGCCGACCCAUUGUACAAGGCAUUGAUGCAUAGUUGACGGGAUGCAGCAGUUUGCGUGUAUCCAAUCUCGGCCAAGAAGCAUAUUAUAGGACCCUUUGCCAUUAAUGACGAAAAAUAUGGUAGGAAGGGUCUUACUGCCGAUAGUGAGGUCGACGCAGAGAGCACCGCGAGCGUUUGACACCUUGCCUUCGAAGUCCUUGAGCAUCAUGUCCGUCCUGGUUAGGUCGUCGUCGCUCUUUCCUAGCUUCCGAAGUACGGCAUACGGCAUGAUAUUGACGGCAGCUCCUCCGUCGACCAUUAAUCUAGUGAGGGGGCGACCGUCAACAUGCCCUUUAAGGAACAACGCCUUCAUGUGUUGUCGCUCGUCAUCUUCGGGCUUUUCGAACGUGGCCAUCAUUGGUUCUAAAGCCAACCGUGCUGUUUGUUCCUCUAUCGCCGACACGUCCUGUUGAUCGGCAGGGGUCAUGAACUCCAUCGGCAAUAUGAAAACCAUACCGAUCUCGGCUGCCGACUCAUCAUUUCCCUUGUCGUUUCUUUUGGGGCGCCACACCCGAGGCCUCUCUUCCUUGUUGUCCAUCGCGCUCUCUUCUUCUUGCUGUUCCCAUUGGCGGAGGCGUUGGAUUCUCCGUUUUUGUGAUUUGGUUAACCCAUCGGGGCACCAUCUGGGGUUUAUUGGCCUGCCUUCUUUCCCGGCGCGCUCCCAUUCUGGCUCGCGUCCUAACGGGUUCUCGUCCGUUACCCGAGCAUCGGCCAUGUCUUCGAGCCGGCUGUGAACGCUGGCUUUGCUAUUUGAUUGAUCGUUUCGAUCGGUCCUGCCCCCCUGCCUAUUAUGGCUUCUACCUUCUGACCGAUCAUAUCGGUCACUUCUGCCCCCCAGCCGAUCACGCAUGGAAGGGCGCUGAUGAUCUGGGUUGCGCCAAUUCCUGCUGAUCGGCUCUGGUCCUCCGUCCCUGGAGCGAGACCUGGGGAACGGCCGAUUGCCUCGAUAGGGACUGUUGCACUCAGGGCAAGUAUCGGCCGAUGGUAGCCUGAGGUUAUUUUCCCAACAAUGGAUGAAGAAUGGGCAUCUCCAGUGCUCCUCGUGCCGACGCAUCGCUUCCUCUCGGGACCUCGAACGUUCAUGUUGGCGUUGGUACUUUUGGAGCAGGAACUGGGAAGUAAUGCGUGGUCCUUCUGACUCACCAUCAUCGGCCUCCAUUCGUCGUUUUCCCUUGAUGUCUUCAGACGUAACUUGAUUUCUGGGAUCGACAGCGCCACUCUUUUUUGCCGAUUCGGACGUCAGUACUUUUGUUUGGAGAGAAUCCCUCCCCGUGUCAGCCAUGUUGGUAGGAAAAGGGUGCUGGUCGAUUUUCAUUGGUUUGGCCGAUUUUGCCGGCACUUCAAAUUUGAGUCUGCCCUGCUCAAUGGCCGACUGUAUUUGUUGCCUGAAGAUUUGCACUCGUUGGUAUCAUGUGACGUGGCAUUGUGCCACUUGCAAUACUUCAUCUUCUUCAACUGUUCGGCAGAGGGUAUUGUGUGGUAAGGCGAGAGUUUAAUCUGCCCUUCUUGGAGUAGAAGGUCGAAGAUCUUGUCAGCUUUAGUUGUAUCGAAACCAAAUGCUUCCGGCUCCUUCUUGCCGAACGGGCAUGAUAUCGGCUUCUUUCCCUUAAUCCACUCUGCAAGUCCGAUCUCGGCGUCUUCUUCAUCUUCUACUUCUUCCAGGAAUGCCACUUUCUUCUGGAAAUUCCUUCUUGGAUCGAAUGGACGUAUUUCCUGCCCGGACAAUCGGUGAACAAUCUGGCUCAGGCUUUCGAACUCUUGUGAAGCAUAUUUCUCUUUAAUAUGUGGCAACAGGCCUUGGAAAGCUAUAUCGGCCAACUGCGCGUCGGUUAGAGCCAGGGAGUAGCAUUUGUUUCUGAUUUCCCGAAACCUUUGUAUAUACGAGGGUAUCGGCUCAUCACUUCUUUGCCGGAGGCUAGUCAAAUCAGACAGCUUCAUUUCGUGGACUCCAGCAUAGAAGUACUUGUGGAAUUGUCUUUCUAGAUCGGCCCAUGUAAUAAUUGAGUUUGGUGGUAGAGUCGUGAACCAUUGGAAGGCCGAUCCUGACAAGGAUGACGAGAACAACCGUACCCGCAGGGCAUCUUGUGUAGCUGCCUCCCUGCAUUGGAUGAUGAAUCUAUUCACAUGUUCUACGGUAGAAGUGUCAUCCAUCCCCGAAAAUUUGGUAAAAUCAGGAACUUUGUACCGAUGGGGGAAUGGCAACAAGUCAUAUGUAGAUGGGUAUGGUGUUCUAUAGGUAUAAGUUUGCACCUUCGGCUUCAAGCCGAAUUGUUCUUGCAUUAUCUCCGCAAUUUGCGCCGACCAAUCUGGUUGUUGCUGGGGAAUAGUUGGCGGCGGCAUCGGCACAUGCUGAUAAAUCGGAGGCUGAAUAAAAGGAGGUGGAUGAAAAGGUGGUAUCUGAGUAUAAACCGGUGAUGUAGUAAAGGGCGGCUGCUUGUAUGAACCAUUUGUUUCAUCAUAUAGCAUGAGCUCUGACGUCUUGUUGACCUCCGGAGAGAUAGGCUGGUAUGGUGGUAUGAUCGGCCGAGUGGCCGUUUGGGAAGGUGUCUGGAACGGAGGGUUUCCUUGACUGACCGAUUGAUUCAAACCGGUCGUGUUUAAGGGUGCCCCCCAGGGUAAAGGGAUGACUGGAGGGAGUGGUACAGAGGACGGUUGGAUAGAGCCAUAUCCCAGAGGAGUUGAUGACGCAGAAGCACCGGAUCCUCCGACAGAGGAUUGGAUCGGCUGUGAAGCCUGAUAAGCCUGAUUUGGUGGAAUCGGCUGAAAAUACGUAGGUCCCCUGUACCCUUGAGGUAUAGCUCCGGCGAAGGAGUUGACAACAGCAUUGUGCACCAUGUUUGAAAGUACCGGGGAUUGAUUGAUGAAGGCGUGAUGAAGAGAUUGUUGAAUCAUAUCGGACAUUUUAUCCGAAUCUUCAGAAAUUGUGAUCUGGCGGGGAGUAGGGAAAGGAGACUUUUUAACAGUUUCCCCGCUCCUGGAACGACUGAAGGAUUUCAAGCAAGUUUUACGGACUUGCUCCAAAUACUGAUUCAGAUCUUCUUUUUGGUCGUCCUUUAGAUCUGCUUCCGUCACUUCGAUGACGUUAUCUUCGGAGACUUCAGCAGCUUUCGACAUGACAGCGGUUGUAUUGGUCCCACCGGGCGUGCCAAAAGUGUGUUGGCGCUAGAAAUCGGUCAACCGAAUCUCAGCGACCGACACACGACCCGGGAGAAUCUGCUUAGCUCCUGUUCGGGUGAAUGCCCUGGUGCGGUUCGCGCGGCGUGCCAGCCAAUCUGACCUGUUGAUUGGCAAGGAAGAACACGUAUCAAAUUCAGUAACCACGAUCGGCUAAGUUUCCGAUCGAGAGAGCUUAUCGGCAAAUCGGCCGAUUUACUGUGAUGAUGAAAUCGGUUAUAAGACAACACGAUCCCUGUAGCUUUGUAGACAGAAAAAUACUAAAGUAAUCGGUACAAAACACGUAAUAACAGCACUAGGAAAAGAUCUAAUCGGCAACGAAUGGAUCUAACAACAGAAAGUAAUGAAAGCCGAUACUACCGAUUCCUAGCGAGAUAACUGGUGAUAAAAACUAGGAAAACAGGUAAAAACCUAUGAAUCUAGUUGAUAUCGAUAACUGAUGAAUAAAUCUAAACGAAACAACAGCGAUGCGCCGGAAGUCAAAGCUUAGAUAUUACUCGAUAAACGGAACUUACAGAAUCGGUCGGAGAUCAAGAUGAUGCAGCCCUGCCAACCCGCACGAACUCGUGAGAAGGAAAAGUGACGGCGAAGUCGCCUGCUCGAAAGUAAGUACGAAGAAUAAAGUAACUUGUUGUAUUGAUUGAUUGUUAUGUUUACAGAUUUACAAAGGUAGCUAUUUAUAGCCCCGUACAGAUAACUUCCUAACCGACUAGAAUUCUAUCUCUUAUUCAAACAGAAAACAAAUAUCUACAAGCACAAUUCGUAUUAGGUUAGAUACCCCACGCUUCGUGGGCUGACCUCCACCUUAUCCUUCCAUCCUUUUCCAAGCCCAUACAGGCCCAAUUAGUUCAUCCUCCUGAUCGGCCGAUUUCUCAUCGGCAAAGGAUUACCGAUUGGGAAUCUGGCGUAUUCUCCCUGAAGCGAAGCAAAAGCUGCCAGCCGAUUCCUCACUAUAGCACCAUCUGACCGAUUCCUAACUGCACUUCCUCGACUUCCUUUCCCCUUGGCGCCGAUUCUACUGAUGACGAAAUCCGGCGUCAACAGGUAUGUUCAUAACCGGUGGCAGGUGGGUAAUUUUUUACGUCAAAAGUACUUGAAAGCAGGAGGAAAGGUACUUUUGAUUUUAUACGAGAGUAAAAGUAGUUUUUGAGAAAAACAUCUAUGAUUUUUAGACUCUUUAGUUGAUUUUUGACUUUUGCAAAAACAAAAACUGGUUGAAAAGUCUAACACCCUAAAACUUGCGGUACUGUGCUCCAUCUGAGGUGCAGUACGAAAUCUCAGAUUCCACUUCGUCCGUCGACCGUCGUCCCCAACUCCCCAUUGACAAUGAAGGCCUUGUUUACUUUCCUCCAAACUCCCAACUUUGACACUAUGCAAAAAGAAGAUUUCUCAUCAUAUCAAACUUGCGGUACAUGCAUGAAGUAUUAAAUGUAGACGAAAUUAAAAACUAAUUGCACAGUUUUGUUGUACUUUGCGAGACGAAUCUUUUGAGCCUAAUUAGUCAAUAUUUAGACAAUAAUUCACAAAUACAAACGAAACGCUACAGUUGCGCAUUUAUGGCAAAAUGUCAAUUUUGCCUAUCCCAAGUUGGGAAGUAAACAAGGCCGAAGUCGUGGAGGAAAUUGAACCAACCGUCGCGUCGCGGGCCGGGGUGGGAGCCCACUGGCCCAGUGGCCAGCCAGGCAACCACCUUGCCCAGUGCGGCACCGGCUCGCCGCCACCACGAUCUGCCCCGGCGGCCUCACCGCCAUUCCUGCCGCUGGCGACGACCGCAGCAAGCAGUUUCUUCUCAACCAACCAACCCGCCCGGCACGCCCCCGCGCUUCGCCGUCGCAACGUAAGCUUCCCAGAUCCCUUUCGUUUCCGUCUGGACCGAGCUAGGCCACACUUCUACUCGUCCACAUUCUCUUCUCGGUUCCCACAUACUUUUCAAGUCAAACGAUUACAAAUCGGUUUAACCAACUCCGAUCAGCGAUCACAGCCGGAUUGUGCAAUCCCUGGAUGGCCGGAUCCACGAGCUUGCUAAAUAUGGGCACAUCCCCUCCUUUUCGCCCGCACGCGAGGCGUGGACCACCGGCGGAUCAAGCGUUCUUAAAACCCCGCAGUCCAGGAACAACGCAACAAGCGGAAGAUGACAAGGGGAGUUGUUCGGCGGGAUGGGAGUUACUCGGCCGCGCGCCCGCCGCAUGUGCUGCUGCUGGUGGUUUUGUUCGGAGCGCGCUCUAGGUGUUCGAUGUAAUGGGUCGGAAGGUUAAUUAGCCGGCUGUUUGCGUCCUGAAGAUCCCGCGUCAGCGUCAGGAAUUCGAUGGAUAGUAAUCGACGCGGAAUCGUGGAAUUACGAAUCGGUGUGUGCGGUGUGGGUGUUGUUUAGCUCAUUAGGUGGGAUGUGGCUUUCAGAGAUUCCUGGUGUCGCCUUGGGGAAUAUUCAUGCUCCGUGGUGAUGGCUUAGUUCAGGUUUCGUGUAGUUGUUGUUCUCUUCAGGAGGGUUACCACCUGUUACACCAUCGAUCAAAAGUGUAAUUGAUUGUAGGUGCAUUGCAGUUCCACUAGACAGGUUAAUUUGCUUCAGAGUGCUCCUGAUGGAAAUAGUAUGGUCGGUGACUCGGUGAUCAAAAGUCUAGUUGUCUCAUGUUACAUUUGCAGUAAUUAGCUUUUUGACUGUUGUGUUUGGCGACAGGUUGUCGAAAAUGGGUAGAACAGUGGUUCCUGUGUGGUGGUCCUCUAGUGCAGUGCAGAUCAGCCAAUCCAAAGUUGCACUAGAUUAAGAAUCCACUUUUGUCCUAAAGGAUAAGGAGCCUUUCUGGAAGUGACAAGUGCUUAGAACUUUGACAGAGUAGUUGUUGUUAGAUCGGGUGGAGCUUUCAGUAUGCACUUGGACAAGUCCUUUUAGAAGUAUGUCCAGCCUUUAGAUUUAGCAUUUGGAUCGGUUUCCAUAUGAAAAGGUCUGUCCACUUGUUGUCAUCACAUUCCUAUGUAUGUGCGCAUGCUUAUUGUUUGAUGAUGCUACUCUUUCUGAACAUGGCUCCAAGGAUUCACAUUCUCUAUGGUUGCCUUGUACAUUUAAGGUUGCCUUAGUUAUACAGAGGUUUAGUGCUGCAUCUGGCCUGGGCUAGGAUUAAAGCUGUUCUCCUUGGCAUGUAUCAUCAAUUUGCCAGUGAUAUACUAUCACUACCAAGAUAAGGUUGCUGUGCUGUAAUGCACCUGCACUUCAUUUCUUAAGGCGAGAUACCUAAUUCGAACCCACUCUUCGAAUAGCAUUCAUUAGUCUUAAUUUGCUUCCAAGAUCUGAUACAUUACAUACACACUUAAUUUUUUUCCAAGAAUCCUAUGUGAAGGGAAAUUCAUUAGUCUUAAUUUGCUUCCAAGAUCUGAUACAUUACAUACACACUUAAUUUUUUCCAAGAAUCCAAUGUGAAGGGAAAUAAAGUUUGAUAGUAAUAUAUUCAAAUUUGUUUUUCAGGAAAAUGAAGUAUCUUCCGCUUUAUUGGAUACCAAGCAAAGGAUGCUAAAAAAUGUUAGCGUCAUCUAAAGAUGGGUACAGACUCUAUUUAAGAGUGUCGUAUCACCUUAUGUUGUCUACUGCCCAAUAGCCUAUCUUUAUCUAUGAACUUUAUCAUACCAUUAUUUUAGCUAAAUUCAAUAAGGUGGGAUCUAAAUUCUAGUUUACUACGUGCUCCCAGAUGAUAGAUACAAACUGUGCGAUCCAUGUCCACGACACACUGUCUUUGAUCUCUAGAUCGCUUCAGGCUUGCACAAUCAGGUAUAAUGUGGGACCUUGGCCUAUAGCUCAAAUGCUCAAUCGCUUAUCUUCACGCAGGGCAUAUUCAAAUUCCAACUUCUGCAUGGUUUUGUAUCAGGAUAUUUGCUCUGUAACACUGGAACCUCUGCAGUUUAGCAACCUGGCAUCUUUGGAAGAAAGAUGUUAUAUAUUCACAUCUGAGAAGACAGUGAAGUGUCAUUCUGGAAUUUGUUACUAUCCUGAUUGCCCAUGAUAGGAUGGCCGGUGAUUAAAAGUUUCUUUCUCUCCUUUCUAACAUUUGCAGUAAGUAGCCAUUUGAUUGUUAUGUUUGGGGACAGGUUGUUGAAUUUGGGUAGAACACUGUUCCUUUCUGGUGGUCUUUUGUGCAAUGCAAGCCUUCCAUCCUAAAGUUACACUAGAUUAAGAAUCUACUUUGACCUAAACUAUAAGAAGCCUUUCUGUAAGUGACAAGGGCUUUUGUUAUUUAUUAACAGUUAGAACUUUGACGGAGUAGGUGUUAGAUCAGAUGGAGUUUUCAGUUGGCAUUUGGACAAAAGCUGAUAGGUCCUUUUAAAACUUGGAAGUAUCCCCAGGCCUUAGACCUAGCGUUUGGAUCUAUUUUUAUAUGAAAAGGUCAGUUAACUUGUUUUCGUCAUGUUCCUAUGUAGCAUGUAUGUGUACAUGCUUUUUUUUUAAUGAUGGUAUUCUUUCUGAAGAUGGCUGGAUUGAUUUCCUAUGGUUGCGCUGUACAUUUAAAAUUGCCCUAAUUAGAAGUUUGUUCCUUUCAAAAGUUUAGUUCUACGUCAGUUUAGAAACUUGGUCUGGGCUAAGGUUAUUGUGCUGUAAACUGUAAUGCACACACGCUUCUUCUCUUAAGGUGACAUAUUAAGUCUACUCUCUGGAUAGUGUUCAUUAGUGUUAAUUUGCGUCCAUGAUCUGAUCUAUUUAUACCAACACAUUAUUUUUUGCAAAAACCUUGUGAAGGGAGUUAAAUUUUGAUAGAAAUGGAUUCAAAUUUCCUUGGAUCAAGAAUUUCUUAUCUGUAAAGGAAAAGAAAGUUGUCUUUCCCAUUAUCUAAUUCCAAGGGAUGUCAAAAUUCUUCUUCAUCUAGACCUGCCUGAGUACAGACUCUGAACUAAGAGUGUGCAACAUCACCAUAUUUUGUCUACUGUCCAAUAGCCUAUCUUUACCUAUGAACUUCAUUCACAACAUUAGUUUAGCUAUGUUCAGUAAGGUGAGAUCUAAACUCGGAAGUCCACUGCAUGCUUCCAAAAUAGGGUAAUCUAUGUCCAUGCAUCCAUGGGACCUUGGCCUGUAGAUCAGCGGUUCAUCCUAAUAAAGAACAUGUUCAAAUCCCCAGCAGUACAUAUUUUUUUCUAGAACUAGUAGUACAUAAUUAUUUUUACCAGGAUAUUUCCUCUGUAACACUGGAAAUUCUGCUGUUUAUGAAACUGGUAUCUUUGAAAUACACAGGUUUGUUACCAUAAUUGUAAAGUGCCAUCCUUACAUAUGCAUGUUAACACAAGGGUGGAAUACAAUGUUAAGUAAACUGCUUUGUACUUGAGUGUUUGACUGUUUGUGUUGUUUGAUGUGCUGUGUAUUCUGUAGGUAUGCACUGGGCCACUCGGGAGCCUUUUUUUCCUGCAUUUGCAUUCAUGUCACAAGUGCACACAAAGUAUUGUGUUAGAUUAGAUCACAUGAUGUUUUCAGUAUGUACUUGGACAAAAGCUCAUAGGUCCUUUUGGAAGUAUCCGAAGCCUUUUGAUUUAUGAUCAGGUUAGAUUUUCAUACGAAAAGUUCGGUCCACUUGUUUUGAUCACAUUGCCAUGUGUGUCCACACAUUCUUUGAAGAUACCAUAUUUGAACAUGGAUGGAAGAAUUUGCUGCAGUUUUGUGGUACAUUUAGGAAUUAGGAUUGCCUUAGACAGGGCCUUGUUCUGUAGAAAGGACAGUCUGUAUCAGGUUAAAAAUUUAGGCUAAGAUAAAGCUGUUCUUGACAUGCAUCAAUUGAUUGCCAGUGAUGUUAGUAAACUACAAAGACAAAGUCAGUGCGUGGUAAUGUGCAUGCACUUCUGUUCUUAAAGUGAGACUUAUGUUUUUAAUGUACUCAUUGAAUAUCAUUGGUAUUAAUUUGCUUCCAUUAUCUGAUAUUUGCAAGGUGUAACCAACUUUGUUUUGUAAGUCCACUGCAUGCUUCUAGAUGGUAGACAGGAAUUAAGGAAUUAAAGAAGCAAGUAGACUUGUUAUCUUUGGAAUAAAUAUGCAUCAUGUUCACAUUAUCUUAAAGUGUCAUCUUAAAUUUAUGUGUUAACACAAGGUAGGAAUUCUAUGUUAACAAAACUGCCUUGGACCGGAAGUCAGGAAUUUUGUUAGCUGCAAUCUUGUAUAGCAGAGUGCUUGUGUCGUUUAAUGUACGCGUCAUGUUGAGGUUAGAUUUGGCUGCUGAGCCUGUUCUUUUUGCAGUUUACACUGAUGUAUUAAGUGUGCACAAAUAAUCAUGUGCCAGUUGGCCUCUAGGUGAAAGUUUUCAAUGGUACUUAACAUCUGAACCUGAUUUGUAAGACCUCUAUCUAACUUCAUGCUAUUAACCUGUCGUAGCUCUUUGAAAAGUGGUAGUUUACCUACAAAGAACAAUUUAGCCUAUGUAAAAAUCAAUUGCAGUUGUCUAAAAAGUUAUAAUGGCUAAUAAGUACUAGUCUGGUGUACCAUGUGACAGCCUAAUCUGUUAACUGCAAAUCUCCAUGCAACCAGUCCUGGUAGCAAGAUGGAAACAGUUAAGUGGGCCAAGUCCAAUAGGCCGACAGAUUCUACUGAUCAAUUCAGCCCACUAGAUGAUCCUACAAGCUUGCAAGUGUCUGCCACCUAAAGAAUUCUGGUUCUCACUUCAUGCAUGAGGAGAACAUCUGUUUUCUCAUGGAACCUUCUGAUCCAUUUGGCAAUUCUUUCUUGCGAUCUGAAAAGAAACAAUUGUGGCUUCUUUCUCUCUGUUGGAUGUCUGGUGUUUUACUUCUUAAAUUCUGUGGCUGUACUCGAUGCAGGUCAAGCCUGUUGGUCCAAGUAAUAAUGUCAUUGUGGAACAUAAUUCUAACAAUUGAUCGACAAUAUUAAAGAUCUAAUAUAAUCCUGAUGAUAGAAAUUUCAGUGUGAACUGUAUCACUAUUGGUUGCAUCCAUGCGACUACAAGCAAGAUUUCAUGCUAAGAAGCUGGAUGCAUUGCACAAUCAAUUUUUUUUCUCAGGUUAUAUCUGUGUUAGCACGCAUCGUGGCUUGAUAAAUGGCUGAUCUUUGAAAUGAUCUCUACAUUUUGCCUUUUGUUUGUUCUGAUAUGGUUCGCCGAUUUGUCCAUUUUACUGUGAUACCUAGACCAGGGCCUGUUUGGCCAGGCUUCGGUUAGCUCCAGCUCCUCCUGCAUGUGCACUGUAGCAGUAUUGUGUGUCAUUGUUGCAUGGAGCUAUUCUUCUUUCUCAGUUUCUCCUGGCCAAAAUGAAUUAGGAAAAGUUAGGAGCCGGUGAAGCCACAUUUUUGGGCUUCACGGGCUCCGGCUCUUGGGGUUCUACAGUAACGCUAGAUUAUUGAAGCUGGAGCACCAGCCAUACCAUAGAGGGGCCUAAUGGAAAGCAUACUAGCUGUGUAACGUACUGUCUUGUCUUAACCUUAUCAGUUUGAGCACCAUCUUAUUCUGAUUGCCAUUUAUGUCUGAAGGUAGUUGAUGGCCAUGCUUGGCUCACAACAAUUUUGUUGGAGUGGUAAAGACUAAGUAAACCAUGGCGCAUUCGAUCAGGUAUGCAUCUCCUGAUUCCUUCCCUUCAUCUAAAUGGCAGGAUGGGCGUAUACUGUGAACUCUAUUUUUGGCCUUUUAAGUUUUCCCAAUUGGAAGGUCUGCCUCUGUAAAUUUAGAGAAAUUAAUGAACCCUAUCAAUCUAAAAAAUAGAACUUUUUUCAAAAUCACAUCAUGUAUCCAACCUUCUUGUAAUUAGGUGUGUAGAUUAAAUGUCAUUGGACUAGAUUGUUAAGUACAUAAUAUUAGUAUAUUACAUGCUAUUUCCUCUGCACGCUGAACUGGGAAGUGGACCCUAUCCCUUUUCUAGGAAAGUAUGUUGUAGGAAAAAUCCUCACGGAUAGAUGCUUGUGAGGUUGAAUGAUGUUGUUUUCCUCAGUCCUCAGCAUUGAUGUAUAUGUAAACAGUAAACCAAACUUCUUUCUUCUUGACAUCAAUUUAACAUAGCUCUAGUUUUGCUCUUGCAGAACUUGUAGAUGUAACCAUACUUAUUGUUAUCAAUUUCACAUAACUGUAAUUGUAGGUUCCUUGUCAUCAUUGUUUGAUUCGUGAUCCACUAAUUUACUGGUUCUAUAUUAUACACCAUAGUCACGUUAGCCUUAUUCUUCUGUGCACGAGAGAGUUCAUGCCACUAAUAGUGGACCUUGUGCCCUUAAUUGCCUCUAUAAUAAGCAUCUGCUAGCAUUUUCAUUGACCGCUACAAAGUACUGUGAUAUGCUAGCUUGAUUAAUGGAAAUUUUCAGCACUACUUGGCCAUGGCGCACACGCCACAAAGUAAUGCGAUACCCUGAACAGUUUGCCCACUUGCUAAAGUAAUCUGAUUGUCAAGUUGACAGUUUGUUUCUUUCCUACAAUCGACCAAUGCAAGCUGGGGAUGGAAUUCCUUUUGUUGCCAACUCCCAAGAAACUGAAUUUCAGCCGAUUUUUCUUUGCCACUACUAGCAUCCAUGAUCCAUGGCAUAGGAUUCGUGUUGUUCAGCAUCGUCUUUUUCAGCCGGCAGGAUAUGGGAGAAGGGGAUCAGCUGACUGUAUAGUAAGAGGCUGCUUGGUUGGUGGCCAUCGCCAACCAGUGGCGUGCCACAAUAUGUGGUGGCAAAAAUCUGCGCCGAAGGUUUGGUGGCCGUGGCGAGAAAAACAAUUGCAGUAUCAAUGGAGAGUUGUGGCGUGCCAAAAAUAAGUAAUCAAUCAAACACCUUCCUAAAUUAUUGUGACCGCCAAAGUUGUAGCGUGGAUAGUUGUGGUUGGAAACCAAACAUACCCUAAACGCUUGAAGAGGCACAGUUUCUCAAGAGGGCAAGUUGGUUUAACAGCAUUGCCUCACACAUGGUAUCCAUGGUUAUGCUUAAAAGUUACUAGUAUCGGAUUUAAACACUUGAAACUAUGCUGAAUGAUGGAUCCUGUAACAUCAUCGCCGGCAAGAAACAUGUAAUUUGACCCCUCUUCUUUUGGACAAAAUGUAAUUUGAAAUCUGAACACGAUAACUAGAAAACAUGUAACGGGGAAGUGGUCUUGCGACUUGCGUCGUGGUGGCCUGGUGGGCUGAUGGCCUCGUUCGUUCAUGCGCUUGUACUGCUGCGGCGGCGGCCAAAGUUGGCACACCCAAUUUUCCAGACGAUCAUUGGUUAAUCGUGCUCUAGUCCGGUGCCUUACAGCAGAGGGCUAAAGACGCCACCGUCAGAGCCGCACUUACUACCGUUGCUACUGGCCUCUAAUGGUGGUCGUGGCACCCAAUUUGCAUCGGCAUCAUGUCAGUCGCCGAGAGAACAUUUUGUUUUGCGCGUGUGAGGGUAAUCACUUUUUAGGCAGGAUUUGAUUUGAAUCUUUCAGGGGAGAGAAGUAGUGCUAGCAGGACGAUAGCCGGGCCCAGGAACAUGCACGUCGCUGUCGUGGGUGUCCGAGAUGGUACAGAUCGAGCGACACGUCGCCGCCUUGGCGCCUUGCCGUUGGCUGCGCGGUAUCUCGUGAUGUCCCCAGCUAGCGGCAUCCAGCAGGCUGGAACCGGGGAGGGUUCAUUCAUGGCCGUCAAAUUGCACAAGCCAUCUGUUCUUGUCUUCUUGAUCGAGUCUAUUCAGAUUGGGGCAAUUGAUUGUUGAUGGCGAUCCCGCUACCUGCCAAUUGUCUAUAUUCAGUUCUUUCGAGUUCCAACAUCUCUGGAGCUCGCCGAGAUGACAGCGUGAAAUUGCGAGAUAUUGCAGCAGCGAUUUAAUAAAAAUUUGAAAUUUCCAUUGAACAUUUGGUCAAAUACUCAAAUCCAUCCACGGACAAUAGAAUGCAGGAAGGGAUUAACGCAAAGGCUGACACGGGAUGCAAUGCAAGCCGAGGCGUAAAUAGUCUCCGACUUCUAGAGGGUAGCAGCGAUUAUUCGUAGCAGCGGACGCGGUGGUAACACGGGGGUGGUGGUGGUGGCUGUCGUCAUCAUCUUCGUCGUCGUCGUCGCGGUGGCUGGCGGGUCUCAGAACUCGACGCCCUUGAAGACCUUGCGCACCUGCUCGAGCGUGACGAAGAGCACGACGGUGAAGGGCCCCUGGCGCAUCACGGUGGGGAUGAACCCCUUGUAGAGCGCCAUGGGCCCCUCGGACCGCACGGUCUUGAGCGCGCAGUCGACGGCGCCGGCGUACGGCGGGGGCGCGCCGGGCGCCACCUUCAUGUUCAUCAUCCGCGUCUUGACGACGUCGACGGGGUUGGACGCCGCGGCGGCCACGAUGCCCGCGGUGAAGCUGGCGGCGACGUGCGUGGCGAGGCCGUCGGCGCCGGGGCCCCGGCGCGCCAGGAUGGCCUCCUUGGCCUGGUCGUAUGUGGCCAGCUGCGACGCCGUGACGAUCAUGGCGCGGUUCACCGUGAGGGACGACCCGCGCCACAGGCUGCGGACGCCCUCGUCGCGCGCCAUCCGGCCGAUGGCGUCCCCGACGCUGCGGUAGUUCCGGCGCUCGGCGAGGGGCAGCCGCCCGUCCGCCUGCAUCCGCACCAUGGCCACGUCGGCCGGGUUGCCGACGGCGGCCCCGACUCCGCCCGCGACCAGCCCCGCCGCGAUCUUGCGGUGGAGCGGCAGCACGCCGCCGUUCUCCUGGGUCCACUUUGUCUUGAGGAUGUCGUAGAGCCCCAUCCGCGUGGUGGAGUAGAGCGUCUGGCGCAGCAUGGUGGCGGAGACCCCGGAGAAGAGCGCCGCGGCGCCCUCGGAGCGCAGGAUCUGCGCGCCGACGGCGACGGGCCCGGGCUUCCUCGGCGGCGCCGGGAUGUCGUGGUGGUGCGGGAGCGCGACGGUGUGGCCGCCCGCGUGGAACGCGAGCGCCGGGCGCAGCGCCGGCUGCGGCGGCACCGCGGCGGCCGCCUCCCCCUGCAGCUGCAUGCGGACCUUGAUGAGGUCGAGCGGGUGGGUGGAGCAGCCGGCCACGAUGGACGCGAUGCCGCCCUCGACGAAUCCCUUGACCCCCAUUGCUUGGUUUCUUGCUCCUCGCCGCGGUUGGUUCCUUCCUCUUCUUCCCCUUAGCAACCUCCUUAUCGGAGAGGGAUGGAUUCGAGACCAAGGAAAGCCGAAAACUAAAAACGGAAGCUCAAGAAAGCUCGGGGGAGCAAACCCACCCGAAACGAAAAGAAGAAGAAAAACGCGAGAUUAGCUAGCUACUGCUGCCAAUAGGAGCUGGGGCACAUCUCACUGGAGACCAGGAGAUGGGAAUGGAGCGCGAAGGCUAUUCUGGAGGAGUGUGGGACGCUGGCCCUCUGUGACAUAUGCUGCUCGUGGCUUCCUGCUUCCUCGGUGUGGGGAUUGUGUGUGGGGAGGAGGCGGCGGCGGGGGCGCUAUUUAUAGCUGGGGUGCCCGGGCGGGGCGGAAGGGUCAAGGAAGGAGACGGACGGACUGCCGAACGGGCGGGGGAGGUGGUGGCUA